ensembl:lncRNA
UAUGGUUUUCUGUAAUGUUGUGUGUUGUUUGUUUGGCUGUGGAUGGUUGUGAAGGACACAAAAGUAAACAAGCAGCCAUUUUAAUAUCAAGGCAGAUGGGUUUUUACUUCAUUGGCUCUAUACUUACAUCAUUUUUUUUAAUCAAAAUACAUUUAUUGUAGUACAUUUGUUCCCAGUACCAACCAAACUUAACUUGUCAUAACAACACUUGUAUCAAUUCUAAAACUGUAUUUAAUGUAAUAACAAGUGAGAGGCACUUCAGACAGUCACUGAGUGCCUAUCAUAGACAUGACACUUUUGGUUUUAAUGGAGAUACAAGCAUACAGCACCAUAGUGGAUAUUGGACACAUCUCAUUUCAAAUAUCCACAAAAGACAGUUUUGAUUAAAAAAAAAGAAGACAUUUUAGAAUUGUCCAGGCACUUUGUUGGAUCUAGAUGAUGUUAACAUUAAGUAAGAUACAAUGGCCUUUAAAUAUUUCAUUUCUCAUUCAGAUAUUUGUAAACAUAAAAUACUGAAAUAUUACAAUGGCUCUACUGGCCACUCUCAUGUGCAUGUUAUAAAGCAUCCUGAAGCAAGUUAAGGUAAAACAGUUAAUCUAAUCUAAAUUAGCUUAAUCUAAUCUGUUAAUAAUAUUCUGGAGGAUUUUGUUCCAGUGCAUAACCAUCUGAGGUGACCUGUGUUUAUUCUCAGCUUCUUCUGCACAAGUGUGGGGUGGGGAGGAAUGAAACUUAUGUGUUUGUGUGGGUUGGGACAGGAAUGUUGUGUGUAAUGGCAUCGGUUAGGUUCAGCAUGAGUGUGUGUGUGUGUGUGUGUGUGUAUGGGUUGGGACAGGCAUGCUGUGUGUGUAAUGGGGUUGGUUAGGUUCAGUAUGUGUGUGUAUUGGUGUGUGGUUUGGGACAGGCCAAACUCUGCACAGAUGUGGCUGUAUUUUAAUGUAUAUGUGUAUGUCUGCUUGAAGAAGUUAGGUUCAGGUCAGAUAGGUAUGUGUGUGUGUGUGUGUGUGUGUGUGUGUGUGUGUUGGAAAAGGUGAGGCUCUGCACAGAUUUGUGUGCAUGUGUAGCGCCAGGUUAGCUUCAUCACAAGUAUAUACUAGCCGCCAGGCGUUCCUCAGCACAGUGGUUUCCCGUGACGCAUGUUCUGGGCACAGGUGCGUCCCAGGUUGGCCCCCUCCAUCAGCAGGUCUGCCAGGCGGUCGAUUCCCAGACAUGCCGUCAGGGGGGCGAUGAAGCCGUACAGCCCCCCCAGGAAGAUGCUCAGAGGCCAGCCAAUCACCAGCAGCACGAUCAACCACAUGAUCCCCCAGAAACAGCAGCCACAGCUGGCCAUUCUUACCUGGGGAGGGACAGGGAGGACAAACAGGUCGUCACCAGUGAGCUGCCCACUCGCAUUGCUCAAGAAUACAUAACACCUUAUUGCUGUCACUCAACUGGUAGAUGACUGUUCUAAAAACACAAAGGUAAAAUCAAGUCAUCAAUCAAAGAAGCACACAUAUUGGCAUGAUGUACCACACCAAAUAACUGUGUGAUCAGACAAUCAUAUGAUCUCAGAUAUGGACAAAAUGUAUACCUGCACUCUAAGUCGCUUUGGCUAAAAGCAUUUUCUGAACGAAUAAAUGGAUGAACUUAACUUGUCCCAAGAAAGGUAAAGAUCUAAGCAGACCUGCAACAGGCCCAGGCCAGCCUUCUACCCCCUGGGCCAGCAGCGUCCUCUCCUCUCCAGCUCUCAUCACCACCAUCAUCACCACAGCUGCACUGGAUGAGGGCUUCUCAAUUAAUCUCAAUUUACUCCCAGUGAUUGGACAAGAUUACAAUCUUAUCGACGCUGCUCGUAAUUAGCGCCGACGUGCUACGGCUGAUUUCUUUUUCCAUUAUGAGAAUGUGACACAUUAAGCAUUCCGUGGUCAUAGUUAUUCAAACUUAAUUUAUCUAUUUAAUUGGACUAAUGACCUUUUUUUAAAUGCCGAGUUGCAGGGAGCAGUGAAAUCACCAGAGCAACACCCGCCACAGACAAUGGCAACCUUUUAAGUAUGCAUCCAGGGCACUGAAGUUCAUUCACAGCAUAAUACAGUCACGCCCCCACCAGAGAGAAGCUAUUUAAACCCACACUAUUAUUAUAGUCUGUCACUCUCUUCUAUUUUGGCAUGAAUGUCUUUAUUCCCAGAGUGCAUAUUGUGUUGCUACUUCUCUCCUCUCGGUGUGCAGCUCAACCCGUCUUAGUCACACUCACAGACACACACACUCUCUGUCUCUCUCUCUCACACACACACACUCACACACAUACACAAACACACACACACACAGCUCCAUGAGAAACCUAAUGCUUAAUCUGCGAGUCCCUGAAGAGAAACCCAGACUGGGGGGGCGAGGGGCUGCUGAAGGAUCUAAAUAAGGCACAGUGCUGGAGAUUCCUGUGCUGUCCUGUGCUGCAGACAUCCUCUCCUGAUAGUGACAGGGUCUGGAAUCACAAUCAUUAUUUCUCGACUUCAUUACACAUUAUACUAUUUCCUAUCACUAUUCUUCUGUCAUUAUUCUUGUGUGUCUUACAUCCAUGUCUGUCUUACAAUCACAAUUAGGUUCAAAUCUUCUGGGUAAGUGGAAUUGGUUUUCCUAAUGUUCCAGACACCUGAAAGGUCAGAACGAGACUGUCCGAGUAGUCAUAUCAUUACACAGCAGGGUUGGGAUUAAUGAUUGACACCCCUUUCUGUCAACCUAGUAGGGUAUUUAUACUUAGUCCAUUUCCUUGCCUAAUAAGAGACACGUGUGAAUCUUCUAUGUGAAACCCUCUUUCCUUUGAUGCGCAUCACUGUAAAGAAUAAAACCUUGUUCCUGACUGACCAACCAUUACCUGACAGAGUCUCCAUUAAUCUGUGGUAUUUGAAAAUGGACCGGCCAUGACCGCUCCGUCUGCUUCACAUGCAGGUGUGUCUGCGCUCAUGUUGAGAAACAGGUCAUCUUGCUUAUCGUAUUAUAGUUAUAGUUUUUAAAAUCUAUAUAGUACACAGUAUUAGGUGUUCAUGUUGCUGAACUUAUAGCAAGGGGCUAGGAAUACUGUGAACACCGGUUUGAAUCUUGUAUGGAGAAAAUGUAUUCUAUCUGUCGUAAGGUUUGUUCAAGGCAUCUGCUGUUCAAAUGUAAAUGCAUUGUUACAUAAUUAUCUUGGGGUAUAACUGCUCAAGACAGUUAAGUCUUUCACUUAAGAAAAACCACAUUGUUUUUGCACCAUCACUGACAAUUCACCUUGUUUCAGUAAUCUGAUUACCUGGAAAUAUUAACUUUCCAAGCUGUAGUGGCUGUACCAGUGUGUGUGUGUGUGUGUGUGUGCCAGCACCCACAGUGUGUUUUAAUGUGUACUUCCUUGUUCUGUCUCUUUAAGUAAUUUCCCGUGCAGCAGGGGAGACCUCAGACCACUAAUCCCGAGGUUAUCCCGUGCUUCGAGGGCCACGCCCCCUGGCAUGCACACAAACACACACACAUACCCACACUCAGAUGCACAAAGACAACUUAUCGGCAAAAAACAAAGAACCACCACACCACAGCAAGAUUAAUUAUUUCAUAGCUGUUAAGUUAUCACAUUUACAUUUGAUAUGUAUUUUAUCAUGAUAUGAGUACAUUAGCAGACAGUGAACUACUGCCCUCUCCUCACACUCUUCUUUACUGCUGCCUCACUAACACCAACUAACCCCUCACACACUGGUUCACCGUCACCUCCUCACUGCAGUGUUAGUGUUGGACUGGUUAGUUCUACUGAGCACGUGUUAGUUAGGGUUAAGGUUUUAAAACAUGAAGUGAAAGGCAAUGCAAACCUAUAAGAUGAACUCUCCUGGGUGGAUGUUAAAAACAAGACAGAACCCCGGCCAGAACCAGACGUUCCUUUUGUUCUUUUCCUUUUGGAGAGCCUUCCGGUUUAAGAGUCUUUUUUUUGUCUUAUGGUUUUAGGUUACAGAUCCUUUUCCUCUCUUCUGCUUCUCUGUUCCUCCUCCUGUGGCCCUGGUGUGGUGGUUCCUACAAAGAGCAGUCAGUGCUUUCUGCCCUUACCGACUGUGGCCAAGUCCUGCCUAGUUAGGGCUGAUUUACUGCAACAGGGUACUACUGACACACAGCAGAAGGGAGGGAAGGAGCGAGCGAGGGAGGAUGGGGAGGGAGGGAUAGAGAGAAAGGGGGAGGGAAAGAGAAAGAGAAGGAGGGAGGGAGAGAGGG